ACCGCGCGUGGGGCUGCGGGCGGGAAAGGUGUGACCUGCCGGGAGCCCAGCUAGGAGGAGGCGCCCACUGUCGCAGGUCACUGGUGCGGCGCGGAGCCAAGGUUGAGUCGCUUGCGCCUCAGCAGCCGUAUUUCUUUUGGGGAGGAGGAGUCUUCGGGGGACAGUCUAAUUCCAGUCCGGGCUAGCUUGGAAUUCACAGAGUAUGGGGAACAUGGGUCGACCCUCCUGCCUCUGCUCCCUCUCAAUUAAAGGAAACAAACAAGCAAACACCUCAAAGCAGACACCAGAGGAAUUCAGGAUCCUCGCCUCUGCCACAGAGAGCACCUGUGAGUGUCCCUCCAGUUAGCAGUAGACUGAAUAUCUCGGAUGCCAAAACACCCACUGGGGUCAUUAUAGAAAGUACAGAUUCCCCAGGACUCCCUGGCUUCCAAACUUGGCUUGCCUCCAAGUUAAGUCAAAGAAAGGUGACUGGAGAGGUGACCUGGAACAGCCUGUCACGCCUGACAGUGCCUUCUCUGAAUAGAAAAUAUUGUUCUAGAAAUCACAACUGAAGCCGCAUUGAUCCCAAGUGGGCGGGCAUCUCAAUCACUUACAGAAGGAACCUGUGGGAGGCUGGUCUGGAGCUACUUUGUAUUCAAAUGCUAAACUCUGUGGCCCAAGACACAAGACAGGAUGGACCAGGAGCACAAGCUGAGUGAAAGAGCCCCAGGGGACAGGCUGGUGGAGCAAGAAUAACCCAGGAAGACACAAACACGGAGUACUUGGGGAGCUCCCCUGGGAAGCAGCCAUUCUAGCACUUAGAGCAUUAGACUAGGGGUAAUCCCCCAGUAAUCACACAAAAGCUAAAUAAAUAAAUCAUAAUCUG